CCUUCACAACAGAACAUCACGAGCGAGUGGUCGAUGGACUGCCAAUGCUGCUCCAAAGGGGCUGACCUUCACCUCCCCGUGUCCCUGAACAAGAUGGACCAACGAGUUGUGACCAUGUCCUCUGCGAGAAGUGCAUCAAGGUGGCCAUCAAAUUGUCGCUGCUACUACUGCUCGACCUGUGCUCUGAACGGGGCUGACACCGCGUGCUGCUUGCCAUUGGUGCAGGCCAUGGAGCUUCUGCUUGCCAUGCGUGCCUCCUUCCUUCGGCAGAAGCACCAGGUCGCCACUGGAGCCGGACAAGGUCAUGAUGACUUGCCUUACCUGGUGAGGUAUUGGCUAGGAAGAGUGCAAGCCGCCACCACCAUGUACCAGAUGGCGCCAUCAAGGACAUCAUACUGCUGAUGAUCUACAGGUCCAUUUCUCCUUUUCUCCCUCUCUCUCAAAUGUCAAGCUCGAUUCUUAUCAUUUUGCACAAUGGAGGUCCCCUGAAAGCCACUUGACCGAAAUCACGUGUCUUGUGAUAUGCAUUUCAUACGGUUGCUUUCCCUUGAUAUUUUCCUGCUUUGUAUUUGUCUUAUGGAUACGAACAAAUAUGAUUAUGAUUCCUGCAUUGCAUAUGGUUGCUUUCCAUUGAUGAUAAAUGGUGAACAACUAUGGUGUUUUUCCAGCUUAACUACAGAAAGUUGAAAUGUGCCUAGCUCGAACCCAUUUGUCACUCAAGCGUCUUCCUUUCUACUUCAUAUAUGGGUCUGCUUCUAUCUUUGCCUGUGUUGCUGAAGAUAGAAUGGAUCUUCUUAGGGCUGCGAUUAUUGGCCCUAAGGGAACACCCUACCAUGAUGGCCUCUUCUUCUUUGAUGCACAUUUUACCUCUAAUUAUCCUUCUGAGCCUCCGUUGGUGCAUUACCAUUCUGGAGGGCUUUGACUUAAUCCGAACUUGUAUAAUUGUGGAAAAGUCUGCCUCAUUGGUUUUAUAAACUACCAUGAGGGCUCUUCAUCUCCAGUCGCUGGUCCACUGCUUCUCUGGUUUUAUAAAAAGAGCUGCAGUAACAACUAAGCAUCCGAUAUAUAAUAACAUCAUUAAAGGGGCACGGAGCGGCGAUCCAAUAUACACCGGCGAUGAAGGAAGUGGGGAUGGACAUUCGUGGAUUUGCCGUCCCUGAUUUGCUUUGUGGAGGUAUAAUCUUUCAUAAUGUGUUGUUAACAUAUCUCUGGAAUAAGUUCUUAUGUUCAGUACAUAUAGUUUGGCUGAUUAUCUUUUAGGGGCCUUCUUUGGAAAGGCUUCGACAGACUGUUUGAAUUACUGCCUUAUUAGGUUAAUGGAAUUUGAACAUGUGACUUUAUCUUAGUGUCAACCAUACAAAGGAAUUAAUGACCUGUUCUUAAUGAUAUAUAGAGUAGGCAGUAGUGCAUGGUAAUAAUAAAAAAUGCAUCAUGUGUGUGUGCAGGACACAUGCCCAUGAUUCAUAAUGAUUUGCGGCAGUCUUAGAAGAAAAUUUCCCAUUGCUUUCAUCCCCUUUUGAGUGUCAAUUGCAAAGUUCAUCCGUUGGUGAAAGGAAACUGUACUCUUCUUUGUUUUAGUGCUCUGUCUCCCUACUUCUAUGACAGAAUGGUGUGGCUUUGUGUACAGUAAAUGUUCUCUACUCUUGCAUCCCAUGUAUUACUAUUGACAUGGUUUGUCUACAC